rnacentral:rRNA from 1 species
GAUGAACGCUGGCGGCGUGCCUAAUACAUGCAAGUCGAGCGAACGGACGAGAAGCUUGCUUCUCUGAUGUUAGCGGCGGACGGGUGAGUAACACGUGGAUAACCUACCUAUAAGACUGGGAUAACUUCGGGAAACCGGAGCUAAUACCGGAUAAUAUUUUGAACCGCAUGGUUCAAAAGUGAAAGACGGUCUUGCUGUCACUUAUAGAUGGAUCCGCGCUGCAUUAGCUAGUUGGUAAGGUAACAGCUUACCAAGGCAACGAUGCAUAGCCGACCUGAGAGGGUGAUCGGCCACACUGGAACUGAGACACGGUCCAGACUCCUACGGGAGGCAGCAGUAAGGAAUCUUCCGCAAUGGGCGAAAGCCUGACGGAGCAACGCCGCGUGAGUGAUGAAGGUCUUCGGAUCGUAAAACUCUGUUAUUAGGGAAGAACAUAUGUGUAAGUAACUGUGCACAUCUUGACGGUACCUAAUCAGAAAGCCACGGCUAACUACGUG